rnacentral:rRNA from 1 species
UACGGAGGGUGCAAGCGUUAAUCGGAAUUACUGGGCGUAAAGCGCACGCAGGCGGUUUGUUAAGUCAGAUGUGAAAUCCCCUAGCUUAACUUGGGAACUGCAUUUGAAACUGGCAAGCUAGAGUCUUGUAGAGGGGGGUAGAAUUCCAGGUGUAGCGGUGAAAUGCGUAGAGAUCUGGAGGAAUACCGGUGGCGAAGGCGGCCCCCUGGACAAAGACUGACGCUCAGGUGCGAAAGCGUGGGGAGCAAACAGG